UACGAAGGGGGCUAGCGUUGCUCGGAAUUACUGGGCGUAAAGCGCACGUAGGCGGUCUUUUAAGUCGGGGGUGAAAGCCUGUGGCUCAACCACAGAAUGGCCUCGAUACUGGGACGCUUGAGUAUGGUAGAGGUUGGUGGGACUGCGAGUGUAGAGGUGAAAUUCGUAGAUAUUCGCAAGAACACCGGUGGCGAAGGCGGCCAAACUGGACCAUUACUGACGGCUGAGGCGCGAAAGCGUGGGGAGCAAACAGG
rnacentral:rRNA from 1 species